rnacentral:lncRNA from 1 species
AUUGCUGGGAGUUAUUGGAAGUGCCUGGGGGCUUUCUGCCUGCAGCAGGAGGCUGCUCAGCUCACACCCUGAUUUUUGGGGGCCACCGCAGUGAUGGUGCUGGGCUUCUAAUCUGAUUUUUUUGGUUGCUGGUUUCUGCUGGCCUCCUUUGCCCUGUUUUUUUGGAGCCAGCUGUUGCUGCCAGGCUCAGAGCUUACUUUUCUGGGGCAAGAAUAAAGUUGCAGUUCCUGGGUUCUCAUGCUUUUUGAGGCUAGUGCAUGUUGACUGUGCAGUGCUUUUGCAGACUGAUUUCCAGCAGGGAGGCUGGGGUGGAGUUUGUGGGUGCUGCAGCUCCUCCUGCUUGCAGUGAUGGAGGGUGAUGGCUGUAGCGGGGCCUCUUGCAGUAAGGAUCAGCCCAAAUCUGUGAGCAGUUCUGGCAGCGAUGGGACCAUGGAGGCUGAGUGCUAGGGAUCCAGGGGUGUGCACUCCUUCCCCCACCAUGGGGUCUACUUCUGAGUGUCAUGCACUGGGGGGCUCCAAGAUAGUAAGGAUGCAGCAGAUACAUGAGAAGACUUUCACGAGCCUUCACAUUCAGAAUACACUGAGGGAGAUGCUGACUUUAUGUUGCUUCUGACUAAGGAGAACAUCAUUGGAAGGACAUCUCCAAGCAGUUGUGAUUUCUCUCAAGAUGUAUUAUUAGAAAAUUUGCAACCAUCUGAUAUUUUUUUAAAACUAUCUGAAUAACAGCAAGGUGUCAGCUAUUCAAGCUCAGUAAUUGAGCUAUUGCAAAUGAGAGAAAGAGAGGCCCAAUCCACUCCCCAGCUGACCUUCAAGAAGCUGUGACCAACAGAAGUCCCAGCUGUCCUGCAGUAUCCUCCUGCUACUCUUGUCCAGUGAUAUUCUGGGCUAAAUGCAAGCUCUUCCCAAAUCCCAGCUUACACAGUGCUUGUAUACUGCUUACUCCGAGGAGUGCUUUUUGACCCUUGGGGUUCCCAGAAAACAAGGACAAUCUAGGAUGGAAGAGUUUAAAAUGAAAAGCAUCCAGUCCAACAUGUAACUUGGUGGUUUUUUUUGUUUGUUUGUUUGUUUGCAUUAAAAAACAAUGUCUUUUGUACCUUGCUUUACUUCCCAUGAGAGAAGUCUCACGAGAUUAAAAGAACAAAAC